rnacentral:misc_RNA from 1 species
GCUUUGUGUUCUUAGAUUUAAUGAGAUAAAGCCUUGCACUUCACAUAUAGAUCCAGAAUCAGUUGAUCAUAUCACUUAAAAGAGUUUAUUUGGGGCUAAUCUUGUGGGCUAUGCUCUUUUCAAGGAUUUUGAACUUUAGGCCCCUGAUAAGGAUUGCUGCUUUGGCAAUGUUGAUUGACACUCAUCUCCAGAAUGCUUUGUAGGUCCAGCAAACAAAAAGCAAGUAGUAUUGACAGAGAUUGACAGGCCAUUCUAUAAUUUGUUCAUUUAUAGAACUAGUCCAGAACAUCUUUGAUGUCUGUAAUUAUACCAGGGACAAAGGGGAAAAAAGAUUACUCUUUGGCCCGCAGAGAUCUUGCCUCUCAACGUUGUAAACCUCUCAAUUCAGUAAA